rnacentral:rRNA from 1 species
AGAUUGAACGCUGGCGACAUGCCUUACACAUGCAAGUCGAACGGCAGCACGGGAGCAAUCCUGGUGGCGAGUGGCGAACGGGUGAGUAAUACAUCGGAACGUGCCCAGUAGUGGGGGAUAACCCGGCGAAAGCCGGACUAAUACCGCAUACGACCUACGGGUGAAAGCAGGGGAUCGCAAGACCUUGCGCUAUUGGAGCGGCCGAUGUCAGAUUAGCUAGUUGGUGGGUAAAAGCCCACCAAGGCGACGAUCUGUAGCUGGUCUGAGAGGACGACCAGCCACACUGGACUGAGACACGGCCCAGACGUCCUACGGGAGGCAGCAGUGGGGAAUUUUGGACAAUGGGCGCAAGCCUGAUCCAGCCAUGCCCGCGUAGCGGGAAGAACGGCCCGUUCGGGUUAGUAACCGCGUUUUACGCGUAACGGGAAGAAACCGGCUUCCGGGUUAAACUUACCCGUAGGACGUAACGUA